AUAUAUAUAUAUAUAUAUAUAUGUAUGUAUAUAUAUGUAUAUGUAUAUGUAUGUAUAAAAUAUCAAUGUGCAUACUUAGAUCUUGUUUGCUGACUUAAAUACGUUGAACUAUAAUAUGACAAUUGUUGGAAAAUGCGCUUAAAAUUUUAUGUAGAAAUUCACAAGUCGCCUUCAAAGAUUAAGAAAUAUAAUUUAUAUGAUAUAGAGAUAGAUAUAUUUUAUGAGAAACAAGAGAUAUAUAUUAUAUAUGUCGAUAUAUUCGAUGAAAAUAUGUGAUAUGUGUAUAAAAAUAAUGACCGAUUUUUUUUAGAACUCCAAAAUCGUUGUUUAAAUUAAAUCGACGGACGUAAUGACUAAAAAUCUUUCUACUUACUACACACAUCGGAAUUUUAUAUAUUAAUAUUUACGAUCUUCAUAUUUUGACAAUUGUUCCAUUCGAAAAAAUUACAUUACGCUGCGUGAAACGGUUUGUAGACAUUUGUUUAUUUUAUGGCUUUUUAAUACAUUCAAGUGUUUAACACAUUCAGCUUAGUACUAAUGAGCAUUGAACGUCAACAUGACGAAUUUGUUAAGUACCCUGGUGAAAACUUUUCUUAAUUUUGUAUAUAAUUUUUUAAAGAAUUUCUGCUUAAUUUUAUAACCCAGAAAAUUUUGAGAUUUUUUAUACAAAUUAGAAUAUUCUUCAGAAAUAAUAAGAAAGUCUACAUCUAUUUUUGAAUUCUUUAUAUAUGUAAAUUCUCAAAAAUUUAUAAAACUUGUCAUUGUCUAAAAUUUCCCCCAAAAACUUAUAAAAUUUGAACAAAAAUUUAAGCUAUUUUUUUGGAAGUGAUAAGUUUAAAAUAUGAAAAAUUCUUACAAAAAGUAUUACAAGAGAAUUUUUUCACUAGGGUAAUUUAUAUAUUCUAUUUUUUAGCGUUGUUACGUCGAUCGAAAUUAAAUUCAAUAACAUCAUGUUAAAUCUUAUUCACAGGAAUUAUAAUAUCAAUAUUUAACUGCAAUUUAUACAGUCUUUCCACUGUUACAAAGUAUUUCUCUGAAUUAUCUGUCGAUACACACAAAUAAAGAAAUAGAAAGUUACUGUUAUUCGGUAGAUAUAUCCUCAUAUCAUUUAACUGAAUAAUAAAUGUUAUAUAAUUACAUAAAUACAUGUAAAUAUUAUGCAAAAAAUUGCAAUGAUUACAAAAUCACCGUCCUAAUCCCGUCUUCUCUUCUUAAAAACUCUGUAUGUAAUAUAUGUAUAAUAGUAAAUAUGAUAGUAUUAUAUAAAGUGGACACGACAAAUAAACAGCAAUAAAAUGUUUCGAAAAAACUAAUUUCUAUUUCUCUAAAUACGUUUACAAUUAUUGUUUUAAAGAAAGAAAAAUAUUUUGUCGCAUAAAUUUAUAUAUCUUAAAGCGUUUUGUAAUAACCACUUGAUUGUAAUGCCAGCUGGCAAAUGGAUUACUUAGUAGUUUUAUGUUAAUAAUUAUGACGACGAAGAAAUCGUCCUCGCUUGAAACUCACUCUGAAUCGCGAUGAUAUGAAAUCCAAGACUGGUGUAUACAGUAGAAUCCACUGAUUAAUGCCCGAUUUCUUCACGUCCAGUUAUCUUGCGGUUAAAAUUAUCCAGGAGAUAAACUUUCAGAUCCAUGCACGUGAUUGGUUAAACUUGAUAUUUAUCCUCCGGAUAACUUUAUCAGGAAGUGAAGCCAUGAAAUAUCACGUUAACCUCGAAAUCACACGGUGUUCUCUUAUCUUACAAAUGUUACAAAUAAUGUAAAUAAACGAGACAUAAAUAUUAACAUAAAACUACUGUAAUCCGUUUGCCAGCUGAUAUUACAAUCAAGUGGUGAUUACAAAAUGCUUGAAGAUAUUUGAUGUAUUAAUUAAAGUAUUUGCAGUAUUUACACACUUAUCUAGUCAAAUCUAAAUAAUGAGAUAAGGAUGUGGGCAAGUUCUACUUACAGUUUGAUCAAUUCUACAUAGAAAAAAAAGAGUUUAUUGUGCCUCAGUGAUAAUGUUAGAAGGAAGAUAGGACCAGCUGCUGAACGCUUUUAUUCACUUCUCUCUUAGCAGCAUGCCCACUUUAGUGUUGCGGCACGAUUCACUUUUGAAAUCUAGAGAACUUAUUAGAAGUUGUUGGAAAAUAUAAAGUUUUUAUUUGAAAUGCACACAGGGAAAGAAAAUAUAUUUUCAAUCAUGUAUAUUCCAUGUUUUAACGGUAUUCCUUAAAAAUUUAUUGCAAUUAUUAAUUAUAGCUAGAGUAAAUCAAUGAGAAAUUUGACAUUUCCAUGUUAAAAGAAAACUAAUAAAAUAUUGAGACUUUAUCUACCCAUGCUAGGAUUGUCGUGAUACAAAGAUGUUGACUGUUGCAAUAAAACGUGACUUGCUGUUCGAAACAUUGGGUAAAACAUAUUGGAAUAAAACUUAUUUACUUGAGUUAUUGCUAAGAUGGGAUUUGAUAUAUACAUAAAUUAACCAAAUAUAUUUUAUACCUUAACACUUAAGAACUUGCACAAACACUUGCUAUCGACUGAAAAAGAUUUUUUUCUCAGCUCAUUUUACAUAUUAGACAAACAUCAUGCUCUGACUGAAUGUCAAUGAAGCGAAUUGAGAAGGAGUGUGUUUGUUUGAAGACAAUGAAAAAGCAAAUGAUAGCAAGAGUAGUUUUGACCAAGGUAUAGAUGCAUCCGAAGAAAUUAUCUACAAGAUUGACACGCCUGCCAACAGAUAUUAUCUGUUGUGCUUGGAGCCUAAGUACUGGACUACUUAUAUUUUUGAACAAAACAUACAAAAGAACUGCAAUUGGUAAUAAAAAGCAACACACAUAAUGCAAAUUACACAAGAACUGCAUAAAGGAUAUGUGCCAGGACUCUUUAAAUUUCACUUUUUAAAUGUUCCUUCACCUAUGGCUGAAUGCCUAUAUAUAAAGUCUUUUUUUCUAAACAUGAUGUUCAUUCCACAUUAUAUGGCAAUAAAACCAAAGGAAUGGAAAAGAUUAUAAUGACUUCAGAAUGCUUAAAAAUAAGAGGACAUUUGGUUGUUUCAAUUUUGAGAGACGUUACUUUGACGCAAGAUUCUUACAAUAAUUUUAUUGAUCUUCAAGAUAAGUUGCAUCAAAAUAUAGGAAGAAGACAGUCUGGUCUCUAUUGGCACUUAUGAUUUGGAUACAAUUAAAGGUCCAUUUCUAUAUGGUGCUAGACACCAUCAAAAAUACAGUUCAAACCACUCAAUCGAGAUAAGCAGUUUUCACUAAACAAGUUGACUGACUUGAUUCGAAUAGAAAGGGCCCAGACAGGAUUCACUGAGGCAUUGACUUUCUCUUUGUGCUCACGUGAGAAUGUAGCGGACAAAUUGGGAUACGAAAUAGAAGAUGUACCGGCAGUUCACAUAUCCAAUCCAAAAACUUUGGAGUUUCAAAUAAAUCGACCGAUACCGCGCGGUUUUAUUAAAACCUCGGAAACAAGUAGUUCUAUUCUUGAUUUCUCUUUUUUAUUUGAAACAAUACAUGUGUGUAAUAGAACGUAAACAGAUAUCGUUAUGCGUUUAAAUAAAAAAAAAUUGACAAAGAA